GACGAACGCUGGCGGCGUGCUUAACACAUGCAAGUCGAACGGAAAGGCCCUGCUUUUGUGGGAUGCUCGAGUGGCGAACGGGUGAGUAACACGUGAGUAACCUGCCCUUGACUUUGGGAUAACUUCAGGAAACUGGGGCUAAUACCGGAUAGGAGCUCCUGCUGCAUGGUGGGGGUUGGAAAGUUUCGGCGGUUGGGGAUGGACUCGCGGCUUAUCAGCUUGUUGGUGGGGUAGUGGCUUACCAAGGCUUUGACGGGUAGCCGGCCUGAGAGGGUGACCGGCCACAUUGGGACUGAGAUACGGCCGAGACUCCUACGGGAGGCAGCAGUGGGGAAUAUUGCACAAUGGGCGGAAGCCGGAUGCAGCAACGCCGCGUGCGGGAUGACGGCCUUCGGGUUGUAAACCGCUUUCGCCUGUGACGAAGCGUGAGUGACGGUAAUGGGUAAAGAAGCACCGGCUAACUACGUG
rnacentral:rRNA from 1 species